UGUAUGCAGACCAUCGUAGGUAGCUGACAUAGAGUGAAAUAAUUUUCUCUCUUUCUCUAUAGAUAUCUGUGUUUAUUUUUUAAAACAUACUUCAGUCGUAUCAUAUACGGAUGCGAAAUUGUAUUUUCAUUUUAUUCUGUGAUCAUUUCCGGAAAAUCAAAAGGAUUGUAUGCAUAAGACAAAAGAAAAACUAAACAGGAAACUCCUAUAAGACACACACGAAAUGCAACUUAAAGUUAGAUAAGAUAAAAUAGUUGUAUAAAAGAACUAUUAUAUUGGUUCAGUGUGUCUUACGCGCAAUUGUGUGAAAAUAUGUUGUUUAAGGUCCUUGUAUGGGGCUAACUACAUGUACAUUAAGUCCGAGAAUGAGUUUUAAUAAUAAUUUAAGACAGGUUCAAAACACUUGGACACCAAUUAAUUAAACAGUUAACUUUUCGUAAUAGCACUGUAUGCUGAUCUUACUCACAUAUGGUAAAGUUGCAUAUCAGUGUCAGCAUUAUACUUACACCGUAUGGAUGAACUUACAAGGUUUACUGAUCGAUGGUCUUGAUCAAUUACCCAUGGAGAGAUAGGAAGUCUGUUGAAAUGGAAAAAAAAAGUACUUUAGAAAACGUUUCCAACAUAAUGGACUUUAAAUAGAAGUUCAGUUUAAUAAUGAUACAUGUGUGUAUUGUAGAUCUUCAUAAAGCAGAAAAUCAAUAUUAAGAUAUAACCAUUUAAGAACGAGUGUAGCGAUUUAAACCUUUCUAAAUGCUGCUACUUAGAAGUUGUCUUCUACUGUGACGACCUUCUCACGAAAGUGCUCUCUUUAUAUACCCAGUUUAAAAUAGAUCAUCGUUGGGGGUGUCACGUGAUUAUUGACCGAGUGCCCCGGAUAUGCCAGGCCUAGUAAAAGCUCAAAGACUACUAAACAAAAGGGAAAUCUUCUUACACAAUAAACAUAAGUAAAUCCUUCUUUACUUAGAGGAUUGGAAACUGACUUUUAUAUACCACAGUAGCUUAAAGGAUUAAUAUUGAAAAGACAAACAAUUCUUGUGAUAAUGGCUUUUAAGAAUUAGAUCGAUGAUUUGUACCGUGCCUAAAGGAUUUUGUGGUUAUCAUAAAUUGAGCCUAUUUAAUUGAAGAAAUUUAGUGGUAUUUUCAUUCUGUCACACCUACACGACUCUGAGCGCUUAAAUUAAAUACUAUAGUACAUCAUAUAUAGUAUGAUUCAAA